rnacentral:rRNA from 1 species
UACAGAGGUCUCAAGCGUUGUUCGGAUUCAUUGGGCGUAAAGGGUGCGUAAGGCGGCGCGGUAAGUCGGGUGUGAAAUCUCGGAGCUUAACUCCGAAACUGCAUUCGAUACUGCCGUGCUUGAGGACUGGAGAGGAGACUGGAAUUUACGGUGUAGCGGUGAAAUGCGUAGAUAUCGUAAGGAAGACCAGUGGCGAAGGCGGGUCUCUGGACAGUUCCUGACGCUGAGGCACGAAGGUCAGGGGAGCAAACGGG